UUGACCUCAAAUCAGGUAGGAUUACCCGCUGAACUUAAGCAUAUCAAUAAGCGGAGGA
rnacentral:rRNA from 48 species